AGAAUCAACGCUGGCGGCGUGCCUAACACAUGCAAGUCGAACGAGAAAGGGGUAGCAAUACCCUGAGUAAAGUGGCGCACGGGUGAGUAACACGUGACUAACCUACCCUUGAGUGGGGGAUAACUGAGGGAAACCUUAGCUAAUACCGCAUAAUACCCACGGGUCAAAGGAGCAAUUCGCUCGAGGAGGGGGUCGCGGCCGAUUAGUUAGUUGGCGGGGUAAUGGCCCACCAAGACGAUGAUCGGUAUCCGGCCUGAGAGUGCGCACGGACACACUGGAACUGAAACACGGUCCAGACUCCUACGGGAGGCAGCAGUGGGGAAUUUUGCGCAAUGGGGGAAACCCUGACGCAGCAACGCCGCGUGGAGGAUGAAGUCCUUCGGGACGUAAACUCCUUUCGAUCGGGACGAUUAUGACGGUACCGGAAGAAGAAGCCCCGGCUAACUUCGUGCCAGCAGCCGC
rnacentral:rRNA from 1 species